GAUCAUGGCUCAGGAUGAACGCUAGCGAUAGGCUUAACACAUGCAAGUCGAGGGGCAGCAUGGUCUUAGCUUGCUAAGGCUGAUGGCGACCGGCGCACGGGUGCGUAACGCGUAUGCAACUUGCCUCACAGAGGGGGAUAACCCGUCGAAAGACGGACUAAUACCGCGUACACCCCAGCUUGGGCAUCCAAGCUAGAGGAAAUGAAUUUCGCUGUGAGAUAGGC
rnacentral:rRNA from 1 species